CUGCCGGCCGACCCCGCGCCGGCCGAGCGAGCGCCAAGCGCUCAAGGGCCUGGGCAGAGGUCCCGGGAGCGCCGAGCCCCAGAGCCCUUUCCUCCCUUCCUCGGCCCUUCCCUGCGCCUUCCCUCCUCUCUGCCCUCUUUCCUUCCUCCCUCCCUUUCUUCCUGAACUUACUGAGCGCCUACUCUGGGCCAGCCACGGUUCCAGGCCCGGGUUGGGGGGGGGGGGGGGGGCGGGGCACAGGGGUGAACAACAGCCAGGCGCCAGGCCCUGGAGCCGGUGGUCCGCAGAGGGAGACAGACCUCACCCGUGCCAACACCUUGACAGACCAAGUCACAGAGAGCCACAAGGAGGACAGAGCGGAAGUGCUCAGAGACGUGGGAAUCCCCAAGGUCACGCAGCUCGCGCACACUGCUGGACACGGGGACACAGUGAUGGCGGAGACAGACAAGUACCCCUGCGCUGACGCAUAGAUACCGCAGUGCGACAGGUGUGUUUCCUUCUUCCGUUCAUCAAGUGUUUGCUGAGCACCUACUCUGUGCCUGGCUCCAGGCCCCAGGGAGACAGCAGGAAACAAACCAAUCUCCGGAAGGAUAAACGGGAAGAAGGUCUUCACAUGGGACAGUGACAGACAACCCACAGGAGGUCCGUCCGCAUGACCACGCCUCACCCAUCGAUGCAGUGAUGGUCCAUGGCCGUCCCCGGGGAAGUCCCCCCCAGUCCCCCAAGUGCUCUGGCCAGGGAGCAGCGUGGACCCUCCCUAGGGAAGAUGCUCCCAGUCCCCCAAGUGCCCUCCGGCCGGGGCGCAGUAUGGAUCGUCCCCGGUGAAGUCCCUCCCAGUCCCCCAAGUGUCCUCCAGCCGGGGGGCAGUGCGGACUGUCCCUGGUGAAGUCCCCCCCCCAGGCCCCCAAGUGCCCUGGCUGGGGCGCAGUGUGGACCAUCCCUAAGGAAGACCCUCCCAGUCCCCCAAGUGCCCCCACCCUGGGGCGCAGUGUGUCUGCAUUCGCAGGGCAAGGGCCGGGAGCAGCAGGCGCUGGCAGGCAGGUGGCCUGACGGGAGGCGCAGUCCUCUGCCAGCUGCCCAGCCCCCCCGCCCCCCGCAAGCACACGCCCCCACGGCCUGCAGUUCUGUUCUUCCACUGUCAGCCUGGCCGCCCGCCAGCUGCGUGCUCUGGGCCUCAGUCUCCCCGUCUGUGACGCGAGGGCAUAGAUAACAUGACAACUUCCCCAGGACAUGAGCCCCACGAGGUGCCCCCCAGAUGCUCACGUGCAGUUUGCGAUGUGGGGCUGGUCACGCCUCUCAGAGUCACGUGCUGUUUGCAUUUAACAACGUUGGGUUUUGACUAAUUCAGUUUCCCCCACCCCCCCCCAACUUUUUGACCCUGCGGUCCUUCCCUCCCGCUUUGCCUGCAUAACACCCAGAGAACACAGGCUGCUCUGGAAUUAUGUGCUGAGGACAGUGGAAGGAAGAAGGGAGAAUUUAUUCUGCCCGAGGUGUUGGCGAAGAGAAAAAUACAUUCAGGCGGGUGUUGAAUGACGAGCUGGGACCCAGACGAAGUAAAACAGACGGCAGCAUCUGCAAGGGACAAAAGACCAAGGUGCACGGUGCGCACGGGGAGGGACAAGCGGCCUGGCCACGCAGGACGGACUGUAAGACUUGGGGGGGAAGCCAGGCCGGUGCCUUCUUCCAAGGUGACAGAGACCCUUCCAGGGCUUUCAAGAGAAAGAGCGGCAUGAUCAGAUUUGUGUUUCAGAAUGGCAACACUGGCAGCUCCUGAGAGCCGGAGCUCGGGAGAGAGACCGGGCCAGCGGAGGUCAUGGUGUGGGUCCAGGUGAGAGACGGCAGGUUGUGAGCAGACGCGGUGGGGAGGAGGAAACGCAGGCGGGCCCCUCCCGUGCGAGGCGACACACGGAAUCCAAAGAGACUCAGAGGCGUCUGGGAGAACACUGAUGUCACUCCAUAGUUAGGGAACAAACUUGAAGCAGAUGGCUGCUCAACUCUGGACACGUUGUCUCCAGGGUGCCUGUGGGACAUCCUGGAGAUAUCAGCCAAGCGAGGGUAGGCUGCGCUGCCGUGAUAAAUGAACCCCAAAUCUCGGUGGGGAAACCCAAGAAAGGGGCACUGUAUUCAUUCACAAAGUCUGAUGCAGGUCAGGCGCGUCCUUUCCGACCUCUAUCUCCGCCCUCUGGAACCUCUAGCCUGCAAGGUCACUGUGGCAGAAGAGAGAGCCGGGGGACACACAGAAUAUUUCCUGGGGUUGGACCUGGAGGUCACCCCACUAUCACUCACAUCCCAUCGGCCAGAGCCCGGGUUCAUGGCCUGACCUUCCUGUAGGGAGGCUGGCAAAAGCAGGAGCCCAGGGACAUUUGGUGAGCCCUCCUCAUCACUGGCACGCUGGCAGGAAGGCUCUAGAGGCCUUUGGAAAUGGUGCCCGGGAGAGGAUCAGGGCUGGAGACAAGAUUUGGACAUGACUAUCGAAUGAGAUCACCCAAGGGGAAAAAAUAGAGGAGGACGAGAGAAAGACGAGAUUUUAAAAAUUCCAUGAAUCCCUCUGGGGUUGUAUUUAGGAAUCCCCAGAGGAAGACUCAAGAUACAGUCCAAAAUCUCAUUUCCAAAUAUCCAAUUAUUUGUUGUGUGGACAAAGCAUCCAGAUUCUUUCCUGAAUUUUUCAGUUCCCAUAUGGCUCUUUGGAAUCACACAGGCAGCCGCAAGCAGCUGGCAAGUGUCUUAAGCCGUGCUGUUUCCACCACAUUCCGCCACAUUCCCUGUGUCAGGCCAAGGGCUUCAGGGUCAUACAUUCGUCUAGAGGAGUUGUUUUUAGAGCCAUCCACUCACUAAAUAUUUUGAAAGAGAACUCACAGUAAGCUUGCCUUUGAGAUUCAUUCCAGAAAUGAAAUUUUUUGCUACCAAA